rnacentral:rRNA from 1 species
UACCAGCACCCCCGAGUGGUCGGGACGAUUAUUGGGCCUAAAGCAUCCGUAGCCGGUCCUACAAGUCUUCCGUUAAAUCCACCUGCUUAACAGAUGGGCUGCGGAAGAUACUAUAGGGCUAGGAGGCGAGAGAGGCAAGCGGUACUCAGUGGGUAGGGGUAAAAUCCUCUGAUCCAUUGAAGGCCACCAGUGGCGAAGGCGGCUUGCCAGAACGCGCUCGACGGUGAGGGAUGAAAGCUGGGGGAGCAAACCGG